GCCGAGGUGGCGGAAUUGGUAGACGCGCUAGCUUCAGGUGCUAGUUUCCUUUUGGAAGUGCUGGUUCGAUUCCAGUCCUCGGUACCA
rnacentral:tRNA from 1 species